GGCUUGGUGGUGUACUUGGCAUGUCUGCGCCAUAUGAAUACUUUCUAGGUAAUAUAUACAUGCAGAAGGCGCCUGUUCGACUCAGGCCCAAGCCC